UACGGGGGGGGCAAGCGUUGUUCGGAAUUACUGGGCGUAAAGGGCGCGUAGGCGGCCUACUAAGUCGGACGUGAAAUCCCUCGGCUCAACCGAGGAACUGCGUCCGAUACUGGCAGGCUGGAAUCCGGGAGAGGGAUGUGGAAUUCCAGGUGUAGCGGUGAAAUGCGUAGAUAUCUGGAGGAACACCGGUGGCGAAGGCGGCAUCCUGGACCGGUAUUGACGCUGAGGCGCGAAAGCCAGGGGAGCAAAGCGGG
rnacentral:rRNA from 1 species